rnacentral:lncRNA from 1 species
AGUAUGGCGUUGCUGGCUAUUACAUCUCUUCCACUGCUAUAAAUCCUUCAAGACCUCUGGGCUUCCUCUGGCUGAUGAUGAUCUUCACUGUUUUUGAGAUGGUCAUCUCUUCCAUCACGUUCAGCUACAGCCUGCUCUCUCUGCACAAAGACAGAAGCUUGGACCAUCAGCUGGUGGAGCAGGUUUCCCCAUUGCCAGAGCCUCAACUGCCACAGGCUGUGGCUGGGACCAGUCCAUCCCAGCUGCCCUCUGGGCUCCUACCACCAUAUGCUGAAGGAAACUUCCCCUUGGAGCCUCAGGGUGUUUGAUUUCUCCAACACUUCCAGGAGCAGGCUGGAAUGCAGGCAAACCCUUUCUGCUCACCUCAGUUGCUGCAGGAUCUGAAGAGGAUGAACGUGGCUCCUCCUGACUCUUGAGGACAGAGAUUGGGUGGGCAUCAGUGACCCACCAUCCAUUUUGGCACCAGUAUCCUCACUGAGGGGUUGUGAACCUGAGUUAAGGGGGAAAGAAGGGACCUGGAAGCACGUGGUUUUCUCAGAUGUGUCCCAAGUCCUGGAAGCCAUGGGAAUGGAUGGGAAGGGAGGUACCACACUCGUGAGCCAGAAGGUAGAGCACAAUCAUGCUGGAUGCAGCAACUUCCUUGCCUACCUCAUGCCAUUCCCACUACUCACACAGUUUUCCUCUUGGGCUGUGAAUUUUCCAAGCCUCAUCCCGUUUCUAUCUCUCUGUGAACUAUGUUGAAUAUCCAAGAGUGUGGAAAUGCAUUUUUCUUUUUUCUGCUUAAAAUGUGGUGCUCUGCUAAUUACAUGUGU